CACGGGGGGAGCAAGCGUUGUUCGGAAUCACUGGGCGUAAAGGGCGUGUAGGCGGUCAGGUAAGUGGGAUGUGAAAGCCCUCGGCUCACCCGAGGAUCAGCAUCUCAAACUGCCCGACUUGAGUAUGGGAGAGGAUGAGGGAAUUCCUGGUGUAGCGGUGAAAUGCGUAGAUAUCAGGAGGAACACCGGUGGCGAAGGCGCUCAUCUGGCCCAAUACUGACGCUGAGGCGCGAAAGCUAGGGGAGCAAACGGG
rnacentral:rRNA from 1 species